AAAACUAGCCAGUCUUUUGGGUAUGAAACCCAUUUGGGCGAGAGUAGUACUAGGAUGGGUGACCUCCUGGGAAGUCCUUGUGAAAGGGUUUC
rfam:Triticum aestivum genome assembly, contig: Triticum_aestivum_CS42_TGACv1_scaffold_252952_3DL